rnacentral:rRNA from 1 species
UGGGGAAUUUUGGACAAUGGGGGAAACCCUGAUCCAGCCAUCCCGCGUGUGCGAUGAAGGCCUUCGGGUUGUAAAGCACUUUUGGCAGGAAAGAAACGUCAUGGGUUAAUACCCCGUGAAACUGACGGUACCUGCAGAAUAAGCACCGGCUAACUACGUGCCAGCAGCCGCGGUAAUACGUAGGGUGCAAGCGUUAAUCGGAAUUACUGGGCGUAAAGCGUGCGCAGGCGGUUCGGAAAGGAAGAUGUGAAAUCCCAGAGCUCAACUUUGGAACUGCAUUUUUAACUACCGGGCUAGAGUGUGUCAGAGGGAGGUGGAAUUCCGCGUGUAGCAGUGAAAUGCGUAGAUAUGCGGAGGAACACCGAUGGCGAAGGCAGCCUCCUGGGAUAACACUGACGCUCAUGCACGAAAGCGUGGGGAGCAAACAGG